UCUUGUGGAUUAAGGCGUGAGCUUGCAGCUGCCACUUCAGCACUGUGCCUGCCAGCCUGUUGUCAUACUCCCUGCUGUGACGGUCAGGGACCUGUCUGAAAGUGACCAUUGAAGAAAUGCACAUUGCAAUGAACACAUGCUCUUCAAAUUCUUGCACAACUUCCAUAGAAACUACUGAGAGAAACGAGACUCACAACGGCCUUCUAAAGUGAUGAGGCUCACCCAUGCUUUCAAAGCCUAUGAUCUACUAUCAGAACUAAAAACCACGUGCUUUCCAACCUCAAUUCUGCCAAUGAAGAGCAGUGUUGCAAGUUUCCCAGUAAGCAGAGGAGAAAGUAUUUGUCCCAGCAGCUGCUGCAGGGAAGGAACUGCUGUCUUUACCUGAAGAGAAGUGGAGAACUGAAAUGCCUCAGCCGAGGAGAAAGCCUGAUUGUCUCCGCCACAUUCCAGCACCUGUCUGCUAACUGCAACCAUUAGGCCCCAGGGGAGACAGUACAGAAACACAAAUCAAACAUAUCUGUGGUGUUUAGGACACUAUGUGGGUAGAGCACCAAAAAGCAGAAUUUUGUAGAUCAAUCUCAUCUCUAAUAAAGUGUGUCUGCCCUA
ensembl:processed_transcript Gm14004 predicted gene 14004